rnacentral:rRNA from 1 species
GACGAAGGGGGCAAGCGUUGUCCGGAUUUAUUGGGCGUAAAGAGCGUGUAGGCGGUCUUCUAAGUCUGGUGUGAAAGCCCAGGGCUUAACCCUGGAAGUGCACUGGAUACUGGAAGACUAGAGGGUAAGAGGGGAGAUUGGAAUUCCUGGUGUAGGGGUGAAAUCCGUAGAUAUCAGGAGGAACAUCGGUGGCGAAGGCGAAUCUCUGGCUUAUUUCUGACGCUGAGACGCGAAAGCGUGGGGAGCGAACGGG